rnacentral:sRNA from 1 species
UAAAAUGUGUAGAGCAAGUGUAUGGUGGUUAGUGUUCUUGUAUAAACUUUGACUUGAUCUUUAUUAAUCGGCUUUAUUGAUAACUGGUUACUAAAUACUAUUCCUUGAACACAUACUUUUUGAGCUGUCACAAAAAUAGGAUACAGUAGGUCAGGCGCAGUGGCUCAUGCUUGUAAUCCCAGCACUUUGAGAGGCCGAGGCGGGUGGAUCAUGAGGUCGGGAGUUAAAGACCAGCCUGGCCAACAUGGUGAAACCCCCAUCUCUACUAAAAUACAAAAAUUAGCCGGGUGUGGUGGCGGGUGCCCGUAAUCCCAGCUGCUCGGGAGGUUGAGGCAGGAGAAUCGCUUGAACCCGGGAGGCAGAGGUUGCAGUGAGCCAAGAUCGUGCCACGGCACUCCAGCCUGGGUGACAGAGUAACACUGUCUUGGUGUAGGGGGAGAUACAGUAAAAGCAGAAAGUAUGAAGGCAGAGUGGCAUAAAAAUCUAGAUGAUUUAAUCAAAUUAGGCUAUAUAAAUGGUUUAAUUAUUAACUUUCUAUAGGUUCUCUUCCUGCAAAUGGCCCUACCGCCUUGGUUGAUAAAGUUUCAAAUCCCAAAACUAAUGGGGACAGUCAGCAGCCCUCCUCCUCUGGCCUUGCUUCCAGUAAAGCUUGUGUCGGAAGUGCCUAUCACAAGCAGUUGGCCGCCUUGAACUGCUCCGUGCGGGAUUGGAUAGUGAAGCACGUGAAUACAAACCCCCUCUGUGAUCUGACACCUAUCUUUAAAGACUAUGAGAAAUAUUUAGCAAACAUUGAACAGCAACACGGGAACAGUGGCAGGAAUUCUGAAAGUGAACCUAACAAAGUGGCGGCUGAAACACAGUCUCCUUCCCUUUUUGGCUCAACAAAAUUACAGCAAGAGUCAACGUUUUUGUUUCAUGGCAACAAAACUGAAGAUACACCUGACAAGAAGGUGGAGGUGGCAUCUGAAAAGAAAACGGACCCAUCAUCACUAGGAGCGACAAGUGCCUCAUUUAAUUUCGGCAAGAAAGUUGAUAGCUCUGUUUUGGGCUCAUUAAGCUCCGUCCCCCUGACUGGAUUUUCUUUCUCCCCUGGAAACUCCAGUGUAUUUGGCAAAGAUAUUACCCAGAGUAAACCAGUCUCUUCACCAUUUCCCACUAAACCAUUGGAGGGCCAAGCGGAGGGUUACAGUGGUGAAUGCAAAGGUGGAGAUGAAGAAGAGAAUGAAGAGCCACCCAAAGUAGUAGUUACCGAAGUAAAAGAAGAAGAUGCUUUUUACUCCAAAAAGUGUAAACUAUUUUACAAGAAAGAUAAUGAGUUUAAAGAGAAAGGCAUAGGUACUCUGCAUUUAAAACCUACAGCAAAUCAGAAGACACAGCUUUUGGUGCGGGCAGACACCAAUUUAGGUGGGUACCUUUUUUUCGGUUGGCACAAAAUCAUCAUCAUCACAUAGUAUAUAAAAGCCUUUACCCUGCUGACUCAAGAUUAUUAAUGUUUUUAAACAGUGCAUUCAGGCCAAAUUCAUCCUAUGUUUACUUAUAGUUUUGAGUCCCAGGAUAAUAGUGUGUAAGGAAACAUAAAUGUGUUAGAAGCUGUAAACAAAAUGAUUUUUCAUUUUCCUUUGUGUUAGAAAUGUGACUAAGAAGCUAGAGAUUAGACCGUUUAAUAAACACCCAAGGGAAAUUAACCUUUUAAAGGAAUCCUUUUUAUAUAGCAAGUAAUCACUAACUGAUCGCUGUCCAUCCUCAGUUUUAACCUGAAGAGAGUCCACUGCAAGGAGCCUAGUGCCCGGACGAGGAGGAAGACGGGCAGGCCCGCGGUGGAGCGGGCAGUAGUGGUAGAGAACAGGGGGCUGUGUUGCAGAAAGAAACUCCAGGGAGGCGUUUUUCUUUCCUGUGGGCUUGACUAGUGAGUAAUAACAUUAUGGUCGUGUCACUCUUGCCCAGGGAGCUGUGCCGGCCUCUGUGACAGAGGUAUCCUUUGUUCAUGUGGUGCAGUGAAGACACUGGGUUGUGCCACCGUGUUCUUCCUUCAGUGCAAAAACGGACAGUGUUGAGAGGGCUGACGGUACUGAGCGAGGCUGUUUGCUCUGUGAGAAACGCUGUGUGGGUGCAGAGACCUGGGCUGGAGGGAGGACGGAAGGCCACUUCUCCCAGUGAGGGCAAGUCCUCCCCAAGGCCUCCCAGUUCUCAGGGAACCAGUCCUGAUUUUGUGCCAUUCCUGUUGGCUCCCCGUGUUAGAUCCAUUAAGUAUAAGUUAUUUCAGUGUUUAAUGUUUCGCAUGUUACAGACUCCUUUGGUGGAGCUAUAGCUUCUAUAAUUUUGAUGGGUUUUGUUUGAAUGCAGGCAACAUAUUGCUGAAUGUUCUGAUUCCACCCAAUAUGCCAUGUACGCGAACAGGGAAGAAUAACGUUCUUAUCGUCUGUGUUCCAAAUCCACCAAUUGACGAGAAGAAUGCCACCAUGCCAGUCACCAUGUUGAUUCGGGUGAAAACCAGCGAGGAUGCAGACGAGUUGCACAAAAUUUUACUGGAGAAAAAGGAUGCCUGAACACGCGAAGUCGGCUGCGGAAUUAUUGCCAAGUUGCUGCUUCUUCCACCGCCCCUUAAACUUAGUUUUUCUUCUCUUUGACAUUCUAAGAACUUACAGAUAACUUAAAACUUUUGUGAGGAAGAUUAAUGUGGCCAAUAAAACCUUUAAAUGUUAAGUGUCAAGAAACCGCACUCUCCCUUCUUAAGAACUGCCUAAAGUGUAAAAUACAUUUGAAUGCAAUUUUUGGAAGAUUUUUUAAUGUUCGUUUAUUAAACUAACCCUAAGUGAUUUCUUCAAGGACUGCAAUCAGGGUAUCAAUUCGCUUUCCCAAAGGCUCUUCCAACCCGUGGGUUUUGGGGUCCACCACCACCACCAGAGAGGUUUUUGAGCAGGUGCCCGGCUGUGUUCAGAAGGAAGCUGGCCUGUGUGCUUCUCUCCGGUGGGCUCAGCCGACGUGUGAGACUUGUUCUGUUACCAAAUGAACCGGGCUGCCACGCUGUGACAGGCAUUCGUCCUCUGCUUUAUUUUUAUUUUGAAGCUAAAAUGUGAGUACUAAGUGUUCACCUCAGCGUUCGAAUCAUUGGCCUGUAACCCUGUGGGCUGCUUCACGAGAAUUCAGGAACUGCAUUUUCAUUCUAAAAAGAAAUGAACAGCUUGUGAAGUUUUUUGGCUUUGUAGUUUCUAUUCAUGAGGUAGUGUUACUUCUUUAUCCCCCUAAAGACAAAAUGAAGAUAAAGGGGGAUUGCCAGGAAUGGGUUUAAAAGCACAAAUUUGGUAGCUUAUCAUCUACACCAUGGAGAGUGAACCCUUACGAAAUGAAAGUCAAAUGAGACGAUCGUAGAAAAAGAAGAUGCUCAUAGGCAUUUGUACCAUGAUCAACCCCAUGCAUAUGAAAACUAUGACCAAGUGACGUGCCUGGGAGCUUUGACACGAGCCAUGUGAAUUCACUAGGAAACAUGUAAUAAGGUAAUGGAAGAG